AGCGAACGCUGGCGGCAGGCCUAACACAUGCAAGUCGAACGGCAGCACCGUGAUAGCUUGCGGUUACGGGUGGCGAAUGGGGGACGGGUGAGGUAUGCAUCGGAAUCUACUUUUUCGUGUGGGAUAACGAAGGGAGACCUACGCUAGGACCGGAUACGACGUACGGGGGAGAGCAGGGGAACGUCUGGCCUGGUGGGAUUGAAUGAGCCGCUGUCGGGGUAGCUGGUGGGCGGGGUAAAGGCUCAACAAGGUGACGAUCCGUAGCUGGUCGGAGAGGAGGAUCAGGCACACUGGCACGGAGAGAGGGCCCAGACUCCUGCGGGAGGCAGCAGUGGGGAAUAUUGGACAAGGGGGGCAAGCCUGAUCCAGCCAUACCGCGUGGGUGAAGAAGGCCUUCGGGUUGUAAAGCCCUUUUGUUGGGAAAGAAAAGCAGCAGGUUAAUACCCCGCUGUUCUGACGGUACCCAAAGAAUAAGCACCGGCUAACUUCGUG
rnacentral:rRNA from 1 species